AUUGAACGCUGGCGGCAGGCCUAACACAUGCAAGUCGAGCGGACGAAGGGAGCUUGCUCCUGGAUUCAGCGGCGGACGGGUGAGUAAUGCCUAGGAAUCUGCCUGGUAGUGGAGGAUAACGUCCGGAAACGGGCGCUAACACCGCAUACGUCCUGAGGGAGAAAGUGGGGGAUCUUCGGACCUCACGCUAUCAGAUGGGCCUAGGUCGGAUUAGCUAGUUGGUGGGGUAAAGGCCUACCAAGGCGACGAUCCGUAACUGGUCUGAGAGGAUGAUCAGUCACACUGGAACUGAGACACGGUCCAGACUCCUACGGGAGGCAGCAGUGGGGAAUAUUGGACAAUGGGCGAAAGCCUGAUCCAGCCAUGCCGCGUGUGUGAAGAAGGUCUUCGGAUUGUAAAGCACUUUAAGUUGGGAGGAAGGGCAGUAAGUUAAUACCUUGCUGUUUUGACGUUACCAACAGAAUAAGCACCGGCUAACUUCGUG
rnacentral:rRNA from 1 species